rnacentral:tRNA from 1 species
AGUAAGGUCAGCUAAUUAAGCUUUUGGGCCCAUACCCCAACCAUGUCGGUUAAAAUCCCUCCUUUACUA